AUAUAACACAUUUUCAAGCCAAUAAUAAAUGUCCAUAAUACGAAAUUAUUAUAGGUGAUAAUCGCGAUCGCAAAUUUGUCAUUAUACCACAAGAUGUUAUUGUGAUCCAAAAUCUAAGAACUCAACGACUUGGAGAGAUGAUAAAUCGUACACUGUUUUGGUACGAUGAAACACGCCGAGGCGAGAUCCAACUACUGGGAGGACUUAUAUACUUAUAGGACUUACAUUAUCAUCAUCAGCGGUGAUACUCAGCACGGCUUGAACACCAAUGCAUUAUACCAAUAUCGAUUUAUUUUAAAUAAUAAUUCAUACACGUUUAUGGUAAUAUGCAGGCGUUAAGGGCAUACAAUAUUGAUACGCUACUGGAGAAGUUAAAAUCUGCUCGUUAGAAUUUCCAUUUAAUUGUAACCACAGUUUCAAAAAAAAAAAAAAUCCUUUACUAAACAAUUUUGUCAAAAGAGAAAGAACUCACAAAAGAAUAGCUCACCUUGGAACAAAACUAGUAGUUGAUCGUCACAAGAUACAAAACACUCCUAGCCUUACCUUGUUUGGGUUUAACUUAUACAAAUGUCUAUGUAUCUAAAAAUGCAGUUUUAAAAAGAAUAGGUGGUGGGUACGUUUGGUGAAUCACCCACAGUAAUAUUAUUAUCGUUACACCGCUGAAUGUAAGACGAGUUGUAUGGGUACUCACCGAAAUUCACGUACCUAAUGCACUU